AACGAACGCUGGCGGCAGGCUUAACACAUGCAAGUCGAACGCAUCCUUCGGGGUGAGUGGCAGACGGGUGAGUAACGCGUGGGAACGUGCCCUUCAGUUCGGAAUAACCCAGGGAAACUUGGGCUAAUACCGGAGUACGUGCGAGAGCAGAAAGAUUUAUCGCUGAAGGAUCGGCCCGCGUCUGAUUAGCUAGUUGGGUGGGGUAAUGGCCCACCAAGGCGACGAUCAGUAGCUGGUCNGAGAGGA
rnacentral:rRNA from 1 species